UAAGACGAACCGUGCGAACGUUGUUCGGAAUCACUGGGCUUAAAGGGCGCGUAGGCGGUUCGCCAAGUCCGGGGUGAAAUCUUUCGGCUUAACCGGAAAAGUGCCUCGGAUACUGGCGGGCUGGAGGGAGGUAGGGGCCGCGGGAACUUCCGGUGGAGCGGUGAAAUGCGUUGAUAUCGGAAGGAACGCCGGUGGCGAAAGCGCGCGGCUGGCCCUCUUCUGACGCUGAGGCGCGAAAGCCAGGGGAGCAAACGGGAUUAGAUACCCCGGUAGUCCUGGCCCUAAACGAUGGGUACUAGGUAGUGGGCUUGACAUGGGCUCACUGCCGCAGCAAAAGUGUUAAGUACCCCGCCUGGGGAGUAUGGUCGCAAGGCUG
rnacentral:rRNA from 1 species